rnacentral:rRNA from 1 species
GAUGAACGCUGGCUACAGGCUUAACACAUGCAAGUCGAGGGGAAACGCCGGGGAAGCUUGCUUCCCCGGGCGUCGACCGGCGCACGGGUGAGUAACGCGUAUCCAACCUGCCUCUGACUGAGGGAUAACCCGUCGAAAGUCGGCCUAAUACCUCAUGGCAUCGUCUGCGGGCAUCCAACGACGAUUAAAGAUUUCAUCGGUCAGGGAUGGGGAUGCGUCUGAUUAGCUUGUUGGCGGGGUAACGGCCCACCAAGGCUACGAUCAGUAGGGGUUCUGAGAGGAAGGUCCCCCACAUUGGAACUGAGACACGGUCCAAACUCCUACGGGAGGCAGCAGUGAGGAAUAUUGGUCAAUGGGCGGGAGCCUGAACCAGCCAAGUAGCGUGCAGGAUGACGGCCCUAUGGGUGGUAAACUGCUUUUAUGCGGGGAUAAAGUGAGGGACGUGUCCUUCAUUGCAGGUACCGCAUGAAUAAGGACCGGCUAAUUCCGUG